GAUGAACGCUGGCGGCGUGCUUAACACAUGCAAGUCGAACGGAAAGGCUCCUGCUUGCAGGGGUACUCGAGUGGCGAACGGGUGAGUAACACGUGGGUGAUCUGCCCUGCACUUCGGGAUAAGCCUGGGAAACUGGGUCUAAUACCGGAUAGGACGAUGGUUUGGAUGCCAUUGUGGAAAGUUUUUCGGUGUGGGAUGAGCUCGCGGCCUAUCAGCUUGUUGGUGGGGUAAUGGCCUACCAAGGCGUCGACGGGUAGCCGGCCUGAGAGGGUGUACGGCCACAUUGGGACUGAGAUACGGCCCAGACUCCUACGGGAGGCAGCAGUGGGGAAUAUUGCACAAUGGGCGCAAGCCUGAUGCAGCGACGCCGCGUGGGGGAUGACGGCCUUCGGGUUGUAAACUCCUUUCGCUAGGGACGAAGCGCAAGUGACGGUACCUGGAGAAGAAGCACCUGCUAACUACGUG
rnacentral:rRNA from 1 species